GGGACACGUGGUAUCCUGUCUGAAUAUGGGGGGACCAUCCUCCAAGGCUAAAUACUCCUGACUGACCGAUAGUGAACCAGUACCGUGAGGGAAAGGCGAAAAGAACCCCGGCGAGGGGAGUGAAAAAGAACCUGAAACCGUGUACGUACAAGCAGUGGGAGCCUCUUUAUGGGGUGACUGCGUACCUUUUGUAUAAUGGGUCAGCGACUUAUAUUCUGUAGCAAGGUUAACCGUAUAGGGGAGCCGAAGGGAAACCGAGUCUUAACUGGGCGUUAAGUUGCAGGGUAUAGACCCGAAACCCGGUGAUCUAGCCAUGGGCAGGUUGAAGGUUGGGUAACACUAACUGGAGGACCGAACCGACUAAUGUUGAAAAAUUAGCGGAUGACCUGUGGCUGGGGGUGAAAGGCCAAUCAAACCGGGAGAUAGCUGGUUCUCCCCGAAAGCUAUUUAGGUAGCGCCUCGUGAACUCAUCUUCGGGGGUAGAGCACUGUUUCGGCUAGGGGGCCAUCCCGGCUUACCAACCCGAUGCAAACUACGAAUACCGAAGAAUGUUAUCACGGGAGACACACGGCGGGUGCUAACGUCCGUCGUGAAGAGGGAAACAACCCAGACCGCCAGCUAAGGUCCCAAAGUCAUGGUUAAGUGGGAAACGAUGUGGGAAGGCACAGACAGCCAGGAUGUUGGCUUAGAAGCAGCCAUCAUUUAAAGAAAGCGUAAUAGCUCACUGGUCGAGUCGGCCUGCGCGGAAGAUGUAACGGGGCUAAACCAUGCACCGAAGCUGCGGCAGCGACGCUUAUGCGUUGUUGGGUAGGGGAGCGUUCUGUAAGCCGUUGAAGGUGGCCUGUGAGGGUUGCUGGAGGUAUCAGAAGUGCGAAUGCUGACAUAAGUAACGAUAAAGCGGGUGAAAAGCCCGCUCGCCGGAAGACCAAGGGUUCCUGUCCAACGUUAAUCGGGGCAGGGUGAGUCGACCCCUAAGGCGAGGCCGAAAGGCGUAGUCGAUGGGAAACAGGUUAAUAUUCCUGUACUUGGUGUUACUGCGAAGGGG
rnacentral:rRNA from 1 species